ensembl:lncRNA
CUCAUACUCUCACACACUCUCAUGUCUCACACAUUCUCUCAUACUCUCUGAAACACUCUCUCGUACGGUCUCACACUCUCUCAUACUGUCUCACACACUCAUGUCUCACACGUUGUC